AACGAACGCUGGCGGCGCGCCUAACACAUGCAAGUCGAACGAGAAGGCGUAGCAAUACGCUUGUAAAGUGGCGAACGGGUGAGGAAUACGUGGGUAACCUACCCUCGAGUGGGGAAUAACCAACCGAAAGGUUGGCUAAUGCCGCGUACGCUUCCAUCUCUUCGGAGGUGGAAGGAAAGCUGUACCGUGGGUACAGCGCUCAAGGAUGGGCUCACGUCCUAUCAGCUUGUUGGUAGGGUAACGGCCCACCAAGGCAACGACGGGUAGCUGGUCUGAGAGGACGAUCAGCCACACUGGCACUGCGACACGGGCCAGACUCCUACGGGAGGCAGCAGUGAGGAAUAUUGCGCAAUGGGCGAAAGCCUGACGCAGCGACGCCGCGUGGGGAUGAAGGUC
rnacentral:rRNA from 1 species